rnacentral:misc_RNA from 1 species
GAUGAAGAACGCAGCGAAAUGCGAUAAGUAGUGUGAAUUGCAGAAUUCAGUGAAUCAUCGAAUCUUUGAACGCACCUUGCGCCCCAUGGUAUUCCGUGGGGCAUGCCUGUUCGAGCGUCAUUUACCCCCUCAAGCUCCGCUUGGUGUUGGGCGUCUGUCCCGCUUCGCGCGCGGACUCGCCCCAAAGGUAUUGGCAGCGGUCGUGCCAGCUUCUCGCGCAGCACAUUGCGCUUCUCGAGGCACCGGUGGGCCCGCGUCCAUCAAGCUCACCCCCCCAGUUUGACCUCGGAUCAGGUAGGGAUACCCGCUGAACUUAAGCAUAUCAAUAAGCGGAGGA